rnacentral:lncRNA from 1 species
AAAGAAACUGAGGAGCAGCCACGUGAGCACAGCAAGAAGUCGGCCCUUUACAAGCCAGGACGUGGGUCCUCACAAGAAACUGAAUCGUCUGGCAUCUUGAUCUUGGACUUUCAGCCUCCAGAACUGUGAGAAACAAAAGUUUUCUGUGUAAGCCACCCAGUCUGUGGCAUUUGUUAUGGCAGCCCCAAGCCAAUCAAGACAGCCACGGUCCUUAAACAAUGGCCCACAAGACCCUGCAUGUCCAGCCCCUCGCCUGCUUUCUGACCACCUCUCAGACUCCUCUUCCCUGCUUGCUUUCUCCAGCCACCCUGGCCUGCUUGGGAUUCCCUGAAUGCACAGAGCACAUUCCUACCCCAGGGCCUUUGCAGCCCAUCCCUUCCGCCAGGUACACUCUUCUUCCAUGGCAAAGUCCUUCAUUUCCUUCAAUCCUUUAUUCAAAAGUCACCUUCUCAAUGAGGCUGACCAUGAAAACUAUUUAAAACUGCAACUCACCUCCCCCACCCAGCACUUCCCAUCCACCUUACAUCUUCCACUUUUAAAUUUUUUUUCCACGCACUUAUCGCUUUCUGGCAUACGGUAUUCUUUAUUAUGUUUCUUGUCGAUUGCCUGUGACCACCUGCAAGAAUGUAUCUUCCAGAAGAACAGAAAUACUUGUCUGUUUUGUUCACUGAGGAAUCCCAAUGGCCUAGAACUAUGCCUGGCACACAGUUUCUGUUCAAUAAAUAUUUUUUGAUUGAAUGGGCAAACCUCCUCACCCCUGGUGAAACAGCCUGCUAGCCAGGGAGACCAUGUCAUACCAGGAUUGCCCAGCAGAUGGCAGCCGGUGAACGCCAGAGACAGCCGGGAGCCUACGCUGAACUCAAGGUUCCUCCCAGUUAUUAGUUCAAGAUAGCAACCCAGGAAACAAAAUCGAGUUCAACUUACUCCUAAGGCAGACUUGUAUUCAUGAGAAAGAGGGUGUAUGUAGGAGGUGAGCUGCUGAGCUGAUAGAGCCUUUAUCUGAUACAGGAGGCUGUUUACCCACAAUUCACGGUGAAAAACUGAAAACAGCUGUUGAGAAGAACCGAGGUCCCAGUCCUCCCACGGUGGGAAAAGGGGGUGAAAAAGGUCUGCAGCCGGGGAUCUGCAUCCCUCCUCCAAAGGAUGGCAAAGUGACAUUUUCCCGCUACCACCGAGGGAAAGAAGUGACACUAAGAACUAACGCAUCGCCUGGGAGGUGGACGUUUCCUGCCUUCCUCCGAAUACGCCGGAAGAUGCUCUAGUGCAAGAACGUGGAGUCUCCCUCUGCAGUACUGUCCUCUGGGCCCUCCCGAAGUUGCCCUCUUCUUGGUGCUUCUGUUACCCGUGCAAUCAGGGAAUUGAGUUCCCCUGGUAACAAAACCUUCAAAAGCCAAGUCCAAGGUGAACCUACCUUGGAUCAAAUUCGGCAUUUGAGUGUGUCAGGCUAAGGGGAGGCUCCAAGGCAGAUGCUGCUUGUGAAUCUGAGUCUGCUGACCGAGAACUCUCUAAGCCAGCAGGUCAACUUGGUUUCUGCUGCGCUGACGACAAGGGCAAGCAUUUACUGGGCACUUCCUGUGUGCCAGGCAAGUGCUGAGUGCAUCACCUGAACUAGCUCAUUAAUCCUCAGAGAAGCUCUCUGAAGUCCACACUGUCCUCAUCCCCGUCUCACAGAGGACACAAGAGAACUGUCACUUGCCCCAGGACCCAGCAAGUGGCUCUCAAACUCACUCUCAACCACAGGGAGGGAGGGAUCUGCUGAGAUGCACCAUGGAUCCUGAUGGACCUCAGAGAACAGUUAAUCCGGUCCCUCUGUUCACAGAUGGAGAAGCUGAGUCCCAGAGAGGGGAAGGGACUGGCCCAAGUCCACACAGAGAAUGGAAAAGCCUGCCCGAGCACAGCGCACUAAGAAUUAUCCUGCGCCUUGACAUUCUUGGCUAGUGUCAGGAGGUCCCCCUAAGCCCUGAGUCACAGGUUUUUAUUUUAUUUUCCCCAGAUUCCAAAGUGGCUUCAGUCCUUCGUGGGACUAAACACGUCGGCAUAAGAUCUUGUCAAAACAACAGCACAUCCCUUGUUUUAGGACUUUCAUCGAGGAGUAGACUGUCCCACCAGGAUCACCGGCCUCUUGUGAUGUGAAUUCUGGCUUCUGCAGGUCAUUAGCUCGUGUCCCUGGUCAAGCCACUCAACCUCUGAGCUGGUUUGUUCAUCGGUAAAAUGGGGAUACCAAUAUUCGAGAAAGGGUGUAUUAUAUUCCAGGCCAGUGCUGUCCAACACAAAUGUAACGGGAGCCACAGGUGCCAGCGAGAGUGAGAGUUGGCAUCCUUUUAUUUCUUUUGCAAUAACUUUCUUAAGCUCAAGGAUGGAGGCGUGUUUGAUUUUGAAUUUUUUCCUUUUUCUUCUUCUCCCCAAAGCCCCCCAGUACUUAGUUGUAUAUUCUAGUUGCAGGUCCUUCUGGUUGUGCCAUGUGGGACGCCGCCUCAGUGUGGCCUGACGAGCGGUGCCAUGUCCGUGGCCGGCGUCUGAACCGGUGAAACCCUGGGCCGCUGAAGUGGAGCGCACAAACUUAAUCACUCGGCCACAGGGCCGGCCCCUGUGAUUUUAAAUUUUCUAGUAGCCACAUUAAAAAAAGGGUAAAGGAAAAAGGUGAGCCAAAGCACUUGACAAGCAUGCUCCAUUAUUAAGUUUUAUAAGUUGUUUCAUUUAGCCCAAUAUAUUCUAAAUAUUAUCAUCUCAAUAUCUAAUCAAUAGACAAUUGAUUGAAAUGUACACAAUUGCAGACAAUUGAUUACAAUGAUAAGCAGAUACUUCACAUUUGAUUUUUAUAUCAAGUCUUCACAAUCUGGUGUCUAUUUUGCACUUACAGCCUAUCUCAAUUUGGACUAGCCACAUUUCCCAUGCGCAGCAGCCACAUGUGGCCAGUGGCUACUGAAUUGGACAGCAUUGUUCUAGGCUUUGAUAAAUAUUCUGAGCACAUGGCCCCAUGUUAAGAGUCUGUGUAUUACCACACAAUCCAGCAAUUCCACUUCCGGGUAUAUACCCGAAGGAAACGAAAACAGGAUUUCAACAAGAUAUAUGCACACCUAUGUCUAUCUCAGCAUUAUUCACAAUAGUCAAGAUAUGGAAACAGCCUAAAUGCCCAUUAAUGGAUGAAUGGAUGAGAAAGAUGUGGUAUAUGUACACAAUGGAAUAUUAUUCAGUCACGAGAAAGGAGGAUAUCCUGCCAUUUGCAACAACAUAGAUGGGCCUUGAGCACAUUAUGCUAAGCAAGAUAAGUCGGACAGAGAAAGACAAGUACGCAGCACCUGGAUUAGCGUUUAGUUGAGUAAAUGAGGACUAUAACCUAGUCGAGCUGACAUAUAACAUCCGCCGUCACCAUCACCCCAAGCACGUUCUGAUGAGUUCUGCCUGCUCUUGGACUUCAAAUAAAUGGAAUCGUAGACUUAAAAAAAUAAAAAAGAGUCUGUGUAUUUAUCCCUUGUCUGGGGCAGACCAUGUCCACUGUAGCCUGAGGAGAACCUGCUGGGAUCUGACAGGUCUGGAGGGUCUGCCUUUAGGCUCGGCAGCAGGAGGUGGUACAACC